UGAAGUGUACAGCUCAGAUGAAUAUGGAAUCAAGAGAAAUAAUCACACAAUUAAUACAAAUUUAAGAUGUUCAGGAUCUGAGGAAUACAUUAGCGAAUGUCAAUUUGGAGUUGAAGGAUAUUCAAACUGUUCUAAUGAGGAGGAGGUUGUAAUUUCCUGCUCUACACAAAUAAGAUUGGUAAAUGGAAUGUACAAGAAUGAAGGGAGACUAGAAGUGCAGAAUAAUGGAACCUGGGGAACUGUGUGUGCAGAUAAUUUUGACAUAUCGGAAGCCAGAGUGAUUUGUUCGAUGUUGGGUUUUGAUAAUCCGUUUCCGGAAAUAUGUAACACGUCUUGCUUUGGAAUAGGGAAAUUGAAACCUGUAAUAUUAGAUUUGAACUGUAUAGGAAAUGAGAUUGAUAUUUCCCAGUGUGCGUUCAAAAGAGUGGUGAAAGUUUGCAGUAAUAUA